rnacentral:snoRNA from 1 species
CCGUCUUUUGCCAAUGCUCGGUCAGUCAGUAUCAGGACUGAUCUUGAGCCGGAUACCCAUGCUACGGUACGGGUACGAGACAAGAAGAAACUCCAGACAACGUUCUUUGAGUACGAAACCUUCAGUGAAAUCACCAAAUGGAGGCAUUCGUAAUUUAUCUGUUGUUACAUCG